rnacentral:lncRNA from 1 species
UGGGGUGAGAGGAAGGAGGGGAGCUGAUGGACUCUAGGCUAGCCCCAAAUGAGAGUGUGUGCAAGGAAGUUGUGCCUGCACGCCUACUCAGUAGCUAUCUUGACUGAGUAUGUGACUGUGACUAUUUCUAGCCCCUGACACACAAAAGUGAUAACCCCACAUAACACACACAGACUUGGUCACACACACCCUUGGUCACACACACACUUGGUCACAUACACACACACACUUUUGGUCACAUACACACACACACACACACACACACACACACACACACACAUACACUUGGUCACAUGAUCACACACACACUUGAUCACAUACACACACAUACACACUUGGUCACAUACACACACAUACACACUUGGUCUCACACACACACACACU